rnacentral:misc_RNA from 1 species
GCAGCAACAACAACAACAACAACAGGCCCAGACCUUGCAGAGUAGCCAAAAUGCGAGAGGGACUGAUUUGCCUGUCUUCUCGCCGCCGUCGUCUUCUCCGGAAUCAGAAACUCGUGACCAAAUUAACCAGUUGAGCUUGACUCGAGACCCUGAACUUGGUAUCACCAGACUUUCUAGGGUUUCCUCUCAGUUCCUUCCUCCAGAUGGAUCUAGGACAGUAAAGGUCCCAUCGGCCAACUACGAAUUGAGAUACUCGUAUUUGUCGCAGCGAGGUUACUACCCCGAUGCACUCGAUAAGGCUAAUCAGGACAGUUUCUGUAUCCACACUCCUUUUGGGUCGAGUCCAGACGAUCAUUUCUUUGGGGUCUUUGAUGGGCAUGGAGAAUUUGGGGCCCAGUGCUCCCAAUUCGUGAAGCGGAAGCUGUGUGAGAAUCUGCUGAGGGGCACCAAGUUUCACGUAGACGCCGUGGAGGCUUGUCAUUCGGCGUUUUUGACUACCAAUUCGCAGUUGCAAGCUGAUAGUUUGGAUGAUAGCAUGAGCGGUACUACGGCGAUCACUGUGUUGGUCAGGGGAAGGACGAUAUACGUGGCUAAUUCGGGAGAUUCUAGAGCUGUUAUAGCCGAGCGGAGAGGGAAUGAGAUUGCUGCUGUUGAUUUGUCUAUUGAUCAAACUCCUUUUAGAGCUGAUGAGCUGGAGAGGGUCAAGCUUUGUGGUGCAAGAGUGCUUACUUUGGAUCAGAUUGAGGGUUUAAAGAAUCCAGAUGUGCAGUGUUGGGGAAAUGAGGAGGAUGAUGAUGGUGAUCCUCCGAGAUUGUGGGUCCAAAAUGGGAUGUAUCCCGGAACUGCGUUUACAAGGAGUAUUGGGGAUUCCAUUGCUGAGACAAUUGGUGUUGUGUCUAAUCCUGAAAUUGUUGUUUUUGAGCUUACCCCUCAUCAUCCUUUCUUUGUGCUUGCUAGUGAUGGGGUCUUUGAGUUCCUCUCAAGCCAAAAUGUGGUUGAGAUGGUUGAAAAAUAUAAAGAUCCACGGGAUGCUUGUGCUGCAAUUGUAGCUGAAUCUUAUCGACUUUGGCUACAGUAUGAAACUCGUACCGAUGACAUCACUGUGAUAGUUGUGCAUGUUGAUGGACUAACUGAUAGUGCUGUUGGUCAAUCAACAUGUCCAGGUUCCUUCUUACAACCCCCUAUUCCUCAAGUUGUAGAGGUGACAGGGUCAGAAUCUCCUUUAACCUUUAGCUGGAACUCUAGGAACCAUCGUGUGAGGCAUGAUUUAUCUCGGGCUCGGCUUCGUGCAAUUGAGAGUUCACUUGAGAAUGGGAAAAUUUGGGUUCCUCCCUCUCCAGCCCAUAGGAAAACUUGGGAAGAAGAAGCGCACAUCGAGAGGGCAUUGCAUGACCACUUCCUUUUCAGAAAGCUUACUGAUUCUCAGUGCCAUGUUUUGUUGGAUUGCAUGCAAAGAGUUGAAGUCCAGCCAGGAGAAGUUGUAGUUAAACAGGUUACUCCAUUCCCUGCUUUCCUGUUUAAUAAUUUAAGUUGCUUACUUUAUUAGGAUUCUUUAACUGAUACCUGGCGUUGAUGACACUGAUCAAAGGUCAGCAAAAGCUAGGAAAAAAAAUAACGGCCUACAACCAAGUCUGUUUGGUCAAAAAGAUGUGUAAAUGUGUUGCUUAAUAGGAACAUGUAAAUUUAAAAGAACCUCAGUGCUGGGCUCAUGUUCUGAAACACUCUAUAAGCAUGAAAGACUUAAAUAGUCGGCACCUGAAUCAGAAAAUUUGAAUCCAAAGGAUAAGCUGACUGCAACCUUUGCUGGUAAUUUUUAAUCCAUGCAUAUGCAGAUGUAAAUAGAGUAAACAACUUCUGUUUAAUACUGAUAUUAUAUUCCCAAGGCUGAAUUAAACAUUACCAUCUUUAUAAUAUACACAGUAGAAAACCCAUGUACAGUUGACAUAAAUUUGAAUUGAAUGUUAAUCCACAUAAUACGUGGGCUUAUGAUUUGUGAUAUAAUUAAAGGCGUUUAUUCUUCUUGCAUGACAUUAUGGGUAGAGUUUUAUUGCUAAGUGUAGAAUUUUAUUGAUAAUUUUAAUUGGCAGGGUGGUGAAGGUGAUUGCUUUUAUGUUGUUGGUAGUGGAGAAUUUGAGGUCUUUGCCACCCAGGAAGAGAAAAAUGGAGAGGUGCCAAAGGUUUUGCAGCGUUAUACAGCAGAGAAGUUAUCAUCCUUUGGAGAGCUGGCACUGAUGUACAAUAAGCCACUUCAGGCCUCUGUACGUGCUGUAACAAGUGGAACACUAUGGGCUUUAAAGAGAGAAGAUUUUCGUGGAAUUCUGAUGUCAGAAUUUUCUAAUUUGUCAUCCCUGAAGUUGCUACGUACUGUGGAUCUUCUUUCCAGAUUGACAAUCUUGCAGCUCAGUCACAUUGCUGAUUCUCUUUCUGAAGUUUCCUUCUCAGAUGGACAGACAAUAGUUGAUGGGAAUGAGGGGCCCUCUGCGUUGUACAUCAUCCAGAGGGGACAAGUGAGACUCACUUUUGACGCACACAUAUUAGGUAGCCCAAAUGUUGGAAGUCUGAAGUCUGACAAUCAAAAAGAGGAUAAUAAUCUGAUGAGUGGUAAAAUGCUCUCAUUGGAAAAGACAGAGGGUAGCUAUUUUGGUGAGUGGGUGCUUCUGGGUGAAGAUAUUGGUUCAUUAAGUGCAGUUGCUGUGGGUGAUUGCAUGUGUUCCAUCUUAACAAAGGAAAAUUUUGAUUCAGUAGUUGGCCCUUUGACAAAGCUUUCACAGGAUGUUGAAAAGUCAGGGGGUUCAUCUUCAGAUUUUUCCAAGGAAUCUAUGGAAAGUACUGAUAUUUCAGCUUCUCUCAAAGUUCGCCUCUUUGAUCUGGAAUGGAGGACUUGUUUGUAUAGCACUGACUGCAGUGAGAUUGGACUUGUACUUUUGAAGGACUCAGAAAAUUUGCUUAGUUUGAAAAGGUUUUCAAAGCAGAAGAUCAAGAGGCUGGGAAAGGAGGCACAAGUUUUGAAAGAGAAGAAUCUAAUAAAGAGUAUGAAUCCUUCAGCUUGUGUGCCUCAGGUUCUAUGUACUUGUGCAGAUAGAACACAUGCUGGCAUUUUGUUGAAUGCAUGCUUGGCUUGUCCUUUGGCUUCAAUUCUUCACACUGCACUUGAUGAACCAUCUGCACGGUAUUGUGCUGCCUCUGUUGUUAUCGCUUUAGAAGAUUUACACAAGAAUGGUGUUCUCUACAGAGGUGUGUCCCCUGAUGUCUUAAUGUUGGACCAAAAAGGAUUUUUACAGCUAGUAGACUUCAGAUUUGGGAAAAAGUUGUCUGGCGAGAGAACAUUUACAAUUUGUGGAAUGGCAGAUUCUUUGGCUCCAGAGAUAGUCCAGGGAAAAGGGCAUGGUCUUCCUGCUGACUGGUAAUAUCAUUCAUGUUCAAUCUUUAGUUGACCAACUGUUUUAUUUAGCUUGCAGGAAGAAUCAGUAAUUAAUUGGUAAAGCCUGUACUUUUACCUCUCCUGUUAAUAAAAUGUUAACUUGGUGUUAACUUAAGGUUGUUCAUGCAAUUAGUCCCUAAACUUUAACCUUUCUGUCAGUUUGGUCCUUACACUUUUGAUUGCACCAACAUUGUCUCUACACUUAGCAUAAAUCUCCAAUUUCUUACCCUAUCUAUAUGUUGUUCAUUUCUUACCCUAUCUAUAUAUUGUUCAUUCUCGUCUCUCCUCUCCUUAUCUCCCUCUCUCUCUCAAUUAAUUUUUGAAGAGAAAAUUUUCCUAUCUUCUCUUUUGAUUUCUCUCCUAUCCCUGGCUCCCUCUCCCUCAUUUAUUUUUCAGAGAGAGAUGAGAGGGAGGGAGACUGUCCUCGUGAACUUGAUUGUUUUAAUAGGUUAGCUGCUAUCAUUAAUAAGAGAAAUGGGAAUUUGUUGAAGCAGUACUUGAAGGUUUGCUUGCUUUAACCUGCAUGUGCUGGUGGUUUUGUUAAUUAAAUUUCCCCUAUUUUCUAUGAAAGCAUUGUUGAAAUUUCUGCUGCCACCUAAAUAAAGUUUUGUUGGAAAAUUUGCAGGUGGGCAUUGGGAGUCUUGAUCUACUUCAUGCUGCAAGGUGAAAUGCCAUUUGGGUCAUGGAGAGAAAGUGAGCUUGAUACUUAUGCAAAGAUUGCAAAAGGACAAAUAACUCUUCCCCCUACUUUUAGCCUUGAAGCCGCAGAUCUCAUCACAAAGUUGCUUGAAGUUGAUGAAGAUAAAAGACUUGGAUGCCUAGGCCCUGAUUCCGUCAAAAGUCACCCAUGGUUUGCUGGUAUUGACUGGGAGGGGAUUAGAGAUGGAAGCUUUCAUGUUCCUCAUGAUAUAACCUUUCGUAUUACCCAACAUUUGGAAAGUCAUCCUGACGACUGCACUGUUCCUUUAGCCUCCCCAUCGCGAGAGGUAGAUGAUCUUAAUGUUCCUGAAUGGCUUGACGACUGGUAGAAGAAGAAUGAUUGAUGUUUUCUGGUGGGUGGAGUUGCUCCGUUGCAAGACGACUUUUGUCCUUUUUAGCACAAUUAGAGCCUAGGGGACUUGAUGGAUUGAAAAAAGAAAAAGAAAAAUGAAGAGCAAGCUGCAGGUCUUAGUUCGCUUGGAAUUCUAUAUAUUCUUUUGUCAUAAAUUCAUGAUACCAUUGGCGGAUUAUCUCAUGUGGGUAGUAAUUGGACUAACCGAUUCAACAGAGAGGUCAGUUAAUAUAUAUAUAUAUAUAU